GACGAACGCUGGCGGCGUGCUUAACACAUGCAAGUCACGGGGGCCCGCAAGGGCAACCGGCGAACGGGUGCGUAACACGUGAGCAAGCUUCCGAUUUGUGGGGGAUAGCCGGCCUAACGGCCGGGUAAUACCGCAUACGUUCACCGGACGGCAUCGUCUGGCGAGGAAACCUCCGGGGCAAAUCGAGGCGCUCGCGGCCUAUCAGCUAGUUGGCGGGGUAACGGCCCACCAAGGCGACGACGGGUAGCUGGUCUGAGAGGAUGGCCGGCCACAUUGGGACUGCGACACGGCCCAGACUCCUACGGGAGGCAGCAGUGGGGAAUAUUGCGCAAUGGACGAAAGUCUGACGCAGCGACGCCGCGUGUGGGAUGACGCCUUUCGGGGUGUAAACCACUGUUGCCCGGGACGAAACUCCUUUUUCGUAGAGGAUUGACGGUACCGGGUGAGGAAGCACCGGCUAACUCUGUGCCAGCAGCCGCGGUAAUACAGAGGGUGCGAGCGUUGUCCGGAUCACUGGCGUAA
rnacentral:rRNA from 1 species